UACGUAGGGUGCAAGCGUUAAUCGGAAUUACUGGGCGUAAAGCGUGCGCAGGCGGUUUUGUAAGUCUGAUGUGAAAGCCCCGGGCUCAACCUGGGAAUUGCGUUCGAUACUGAAUAGCUAGAGUUCGGCAGAGGGAAGCGGAAUUUCGGGUGUAGCGGUGAAAUGCGUAGAUAUCCGAAGGAACAUCAGUGGCGAAAGCGGCUUCCUGGACCAGAACUGACGAUCAGGCACGAAAGCGUGGGGAGCAAACAGG
rnacentral:rRNA from 1 species